AUGGGGACAUGGGCCAAAAAGGCAGCUGACGAAGCCUACGCCUGAGUCGAAUGUGCCUUCACAAUUAAUGGUGGAGGGAUUCCCGACAGGUCAUAAGAGGUACAGAUUCACGAGGUGAUCCAGUUGGAGAGCUUCUGAGUGGAGAUCGGCUGACCUUUCAUGCGCUCGGCCAAGGUGAUGAACAGUUGUGAGGACUUUCUAAAUGGCUUAGUCUGCUCCAGGUAGAAAGCCAAAGCCCGUCUCACAUCCAGCUGCUCAUCGGAUGCAUGUGGCUUGGUGCAGAGGUCUGGCAGAAAAAUGUCCUGUCCCAUGUGAUAGGUGGAGACCACCUUUGGGAUGAAAGAAGGGUGUGGGCGGGGCUGGCUCUUAUCUUUAUGAAACACCGUGUACGGGGGCUUGGAGGUCAGGGCCCUGAGUUCCAAGACCCAUCUAGCCGGCGUGAUCGCAACUUCACCUUCCACGAGAGAUGUGACCAGGAGCACGUGGCCAGCAGCUCAAACAGAGGCCCCGUGAGAAGGGCCAACACCAGGUUUAGGUUCCACUGCGGGACAGGGGCCCCAACAUAUGGGAAAAGGCAAUCUAACCCCUUAAGGAAUCGGCCAGUCAUAGCAUGGGAGAAUACCAUGUGGUCCUGCAUCAGUGGAUGGAAGGCCAAUAUGGCUGCCAGGUGCACCUUGACUGAUGAGGGUGCCAGGCCCUGGGCUCUAAGGUGGUGGAGGUAGUCCAGAAUAAACUGGAUCAGGGCGGCCACCAGGGAAACGCCCCACUCAUCUGCCCAUCUGGAGAACUGAGACCACUUUGCCAAGUGGGCUCGGCGCGUGGAGGAGCGCCUGCUUUCUAGGAGGACACACUGAACCCCUUCCUAGCACAUCCUUUCCGCCCUACCUAACCAUUGAGCAGCCACACUGAGAGGUGGAGUGCCACUAGGUUGGGGUGGAGGAGGCGACCCUGGUCCUGUGAGAGCAGGUCUGGGUGGGAUGGCAACGGCCACGGAGGGGCAACCGCCAGGCCCAUGAGGGUCCCAUACCAAUGCUGCCUGGGCUAUGCCGGGGCAAUCAGAAGGACCCAGGCAUUGUCCAUCUUUAUUUUUUCCAGGACCUUGCUGAUCAGUGGGAAUGGGGAGAAGGCAUAGAGAAACUGGACUGACCAGGACAGGAGGAAGGCAUCGGAGAUAGUGCCCCAUCACGCACCCACCCCGGAGCAGAAUCGGGGGCAGCGACGGUUCUGCCGAAUCACGAACAGGUCCACCUGGGGAGUUCCCCACACUUGGAAAAGUCUGUGCAUCACCUCUGGGUGGAGAGACCACUUGUGCUGAGAGGAGAAGUCCCUGCUUAAGCGAUCCGCGCACGCGUUCCGGGCGCCCAGCAGAUGGAAGGCCUGUAGGCGGAUGUUGUGGGCUAUACAAAAAUCCCACAGCCUGAGGGCUUUGUGGGAGAGGGAAGAGGAUUGGGCCCCACCUUGCCUGUUGAUGUAGAACAUCGAGGCCGUGUUGUCCGUGAGGACCCUGACCACCCAGCCCUCCAGGUGUGAGCGGAAGGCCAUGCACGCCCACCGUACUGCCCUGAGCUCCUUGACGUUUAUGUGGAAGGCCCAAAGUUGUGCAUGUGGAGAGGAGAAGCGCCAUGUGAUCCCGCACCUGCGACCAGGAGCUGCCCUUGACCAACCAGUCAUCCAGACUGGGGAAGAUCUGGACCCCUCGGCACCUGAGAGCUUUGCCAUCAAAUGGGAGGUCCUGCAGGGCGGUCUGCGCCUCCCUGGACAGCCCAGAGAGCAGGAGCCAUGAUGCCCUUCUCAUGGACACCGCGGAGGCCAUGGACCAUACAGCCGUGUCUGCUGCAUCCAAAGCUGCCUGCAGGGUUGCCCUGGCAGUCGUUGUGCCCUCCUCUACCAGCGCUUUGAACUCCUUCCUGUCACGCUUCUGGAGGGAGUCCUUGAACUUGGGCAGGGAGCCCCACAGAUUGAACUCAUACCGGCCCAGGAGAGCCUGGUGGUUCGCCACCCAUAAC